rnacentral:lncRNA from 1 species
GCAUAAGUUAUGGGCAUGCAGAUCUGCAGGACAAAUGUUUCACGGAUUCAAAAAUAUUCAAAAUCUCACUACAAAUUUUCUUGAAGCACCACGCUACUACGACUCGACAUGACAACUCACACUCACAGACACCAGAUGUUUCUCCCGAACAAAAACAAAACACACUAAUAACUCUCCAUCUAGAAGACCAAAAUUACCCCAUCAAGACAGCAUGCGCGAUUGCUCGCUGACCUCGAGCAGGAGUAACCCAUGGCUAGCUAUAGUUUCCUUCAAUGGCUAACGGAUCGGCCGCGCAAAGACGGAGCUAGCUAGCCGUACAUGCAUGGAGAUGACCAAAAAGCAGUAGUGCUACUAGACCCUGGCAAGCUAGCCUCCAACGGCUAGCCAAUAAAUACUAGGCAAUAAAGCAAGUAACGCUGGCGCCGCCGACAGGCUAGGUAACGUAGACGGCGGCGGUAGCAUGCAGGUGCAGCUCUCUCUGGCCCUAGCGAGCCACGGCCCUGCAGACCAGCGGCGUGGCCAUCUCCAGCGACAUCUUCAGGCGCUCUGACAGGUCGACGCCCCCCGAGGCCGCGGUCGCGGGAGCCCACUCGAACCGGUGCAGCAGCUGGGCGAGCCAGAGGUGGACGGUGGCGAGGGCCAGCAUCUUGCCGGGGCACACGCGCCGCCCGGCGCCGAACGGGGCCAGGCGGAGGUCGCUGCCCAGCACGCUCACCUCCUCCUCCAUGAACCGCUCCGGCCGGAACAGCUCCGGCUCGGGCCACACCGCCGCGUCGUGCGCGAUGGCCCACAUGUUCACCAUCGCCGUCGUGCCGGCCGGGACGAGGUGGCCGCCGACGUGCGCGUCGUGCACGGCCAGCCGCGCCCACGAGAGGAGCGGGCCCGGCGGGUGCAUGCGCAGCGUCUCCUUGACGAUGCACUGGAUGUAGGGGAGCCUCGCCACGUCCUCGUCCAUCACGGCCCUGCCCCGCCCCACCACGGCGUCCAGCUCCGCCCGGGCCUUCGACUGGAUCUCCGGGUGCAGCACCAUCCUGGCCAUGAUCCACUCCAUCAAGAUCGCCACCGUGUCCGUCCCUCGAAAGAUCAUCUCCUGAAACGUACAGUCCGUAUUAUUAGCAAACGCACGACGACGACUUGAAUGCAAUCAGUCGUACUCUGGAUCUUUUUGUCGGUAUGCCUGUAGAGUACAGAGUUUCGCCGAGCCUUACCCAAAGAACGGCGAUCAUGUCGGACUCUGACAUCUUGUCUUCUCCGUCGAGGCCGAGGAGCACAUCGACGAAGUCGCCGGAGAGCUCAUCCGCAAUGCCUGAUCCGCUGGCGCGCCUCGCUUUGUGCUCCUGAAUGAUGUUACCGACAUACGCCUCCACCUGCCGGACUAACCUGUUGCACCGGCGUCGCACGCCCUGGAGGUCGAGCCACUUGAGGAAUGGCAGGUGAUCUGCCCAGUUGAACUUGCCGAGGAGGUCGUACCCUUCGUUUACCAUCUCCUCCACGACGACUCCUUCUUGGCUUGUGAAGUCAUCGUAGCGCUUGCCGAAGACGACGGCCAUGACGUGGUUUAGGGACGCCGCGUGCAGGAACCGCCGAGGGGCGACUUCGCCGUGGCGGGCCAUGAGGGAGGCGACGUCGCCGAGCAUGCGCGUCCCAAUAGAGGAGCGAUGGGGUGCGGAGGCCGCCACGCGGCGCGGGCCGAAGAGGUGCGCCGCGGCGAGACGGCGGAGGGCACGCCAGUGAGCGUCGCCCGACGGGGCGAAGCCCAUUGCGCGGUGGAAGAGGAG